rnacentral:rRNA from 1 species
UACGUAGGGUGCAAGCGUUACUCGGAAUUACUGGGCGUAAAGCGUGCGUAGGUGGUUUCUUAAGUCUGCUGUGAAAGCCCCGGGCUCAACCUGGGAAUUGCAGUGGAUACUGGGGAGCUAGAGUGCGGUAGAGGGUAGUGGAAUUCCCGGUGUAGCGGUGAAAUGCGUAGAGAUCGGGAGGAACACCAGUGGCGAAGGCGGCUACCUGGACCAGCACUGACACUGAGGCACGAAAGCGUGGGGAGCAAACAGG